rnacentral:rRNA from 1 species
AUGAGCAAGAUAGGUAGAUACCAUAUGUUACUUUGCAAGCAAAAUUCCAGGUAUAAAUACAUCACCAUGUCAAGAGUUCGUUUGGCAAGUGACACAUGCAACAUCUACUUCACGUACAUAAAGGUGACUCAUCUCAUUUACACGUGUUCACUUGACCCCUUCGAGGAUGGUAUACUACUUGACACUCCUCUUGUAUGCAUAUAUAGGUAUUGUCAUAGCUUUAUGGAUGACGAGGAGUCCAAACACAAGAGUACAACUACACCAUCCGGGAGGGAAGCAUGGAAGAGAAGGAAGAAGAUGAUUGUGCCAGCCCAGGAAAACUGGUACAACUAG